GGUUGAACCCCUCUGUCCCUGCCUCCAGGUUGAACCCCUCUGUCCCCUGUCCUCCAGGUUGAACCCCUCUGCCCCCUGUCCUCCAGGUUGAACCCCUCUGCCCCCUGUCCUCCAGGUUGAACCCUCUGCCCCUUGCCUCCAGGUUGAACCCCUCUGCCCCCUGUCCUCCAGGUUGAACCCCUCUGCCCCCUGUCCUCCAGGUUGAACCCCCCUGUCCCUGUCCUCCAGGUUGAACCCCCCUGUCCUCCUGUUGAACCCCCCUGUCCUCCAGGUUGAACCCCUCUGCCCCCUGUCCUCCAGGUUAAACCCCUCUGUCCUUCAGGUUGAACCCCUCUGCCCCCU
rnacentral:lncRNA from 1 species